GCUUUUCAGCGAGCUGAGCGGGGAGGACGGAGGGAGAGAGGACGGUUGCUUUAAAGGAGCCAACUGGACAGGAGCCACUUACACCCGUGUAAGCAGCUCCUCUCCUCUCCCACUUUGCUCUUUUAAAGCGAGCCGGCUCUCCUUCUCUCCCUCCUCCCCAGCUCAGCUCGCUGAAAAG